rnacentral:lncRNA from 1 species
GUAAACCUGCUAAUAAAACGGAAUUCAAGGACUGUAUGUCUUUAUUUUUGUUGCUUUUUUGAUUAUUUCAAACACGAAGUAAUGGUUGCCUAGAGAAAUGCAGCAAAUAAUCCAAAGGAAGCUAUAAGACUGGCGAUUUUAUCAUGUUGGAAAGUCAAUGUAUUUUAUGACUUAACGAUUUGGCAAAUUCAGGAAAAUGAGUUGAACUCGAUUAGAACAUCAGUGUACAUCUCACGGCUCUCGUAUGUGGUGCAGCAGUUAAAGAGAAGAAGGACGACAUGCUAACAAUCCCGACUGUGUGUAUUUUCCCCAUUGGCGUGCGGAUUUUGCACUCCUGAUACCCCACAUUUACUUCUGGUAUGCUGCUCUGACAUGUUCUUUUAGUCCUUCCUUGCUUCCCUCCUUCUACAUCUCUGGAAGGGAUACAGGAGAAGAUGUAAAGAUUCCUGAAGAGUGAGGCUCCAGCCUGUUCUGAGCUUCUGGCUUUUGUAGCAAGAAACCAGUAUUGUAAUCACAGAUGGUUUAUGCUAAACAGUCCAACUUUGAAAAUAAAGAUUGUAUUAUUCCUCAUCAAAGAACUGUUUAGUACUGUUCCUCUCAGGUGAGAGGAACUGACUUGAACGUGACACCUCAUUGCUGAGGACACCACACCCUUCACAUACAGGACUUGGAAGAAUGGAGCAGCAACUGACAUGGAAACCUCCUCCCUGAGGACUAGAACGGAGAGUGGCGGAAGGUGCUACAUAAACGUGCUGUUCUCAUCAGUGAGCUUGGGAGUGAUUGGCAUUUGGUCGUUUCCUGCAAAUGACAACUGGAUGCAGAAAGAUUUCUUUGGUGACAGGGGAGGUAUUUUAUCCUGUUGCUGAUGCCACCAAUAUCUUUGUUGGUACUGAAAGUGGCUGGAAGGGGAUGCAACAGACUGAGGAUCAGUGGGUCUCCAGAAACACUCCACACCUUCGGG